AUUGAACGCUGGCGGCAGGCUUAACACAUGCAAGUCGAACGAGUGGCGGACGGGUGAGUAAUGCUUGGGAAACUGGCUGAUGGAGGGGGAUAACUACGGGAAACUGUAGCUAAUACCGCAUACCAUAAGAUGUGCCCAGAUGGGAUUAGGUAGUUGGUGAGGUAAAGGCUCACCAAGCCGACAAUCUCUAGCUGGUCUGAGAGGAUGACCAGCCACACUGGGACUGAGACACGGUCCAGACGCCUACGGGAGGAAGCAGUGGGGAAUAUUGCGCAAUGGGGGCAAUCCUGAUGCAGCCAUGCCGAGUGAAUGAAGAAGGCCUUCGGGUUGGAAAGUACUUUCGGUAGCGAGGCGUUACCUACAGAAGAAGCACCGGCUAACUCCGUGCCAGCAGCCGCGGUAAUUC
rnacentral:rRNA from 1 species